rnacentral:rRNA from 1 species
AUGGCCUCGGGUUUGACCUCCACGACGUUGUCUUCUUCCUCUUCUUCCUGGUCAGAAACCCGCCAAGUUCAGAGCUGCGUCACACUGUCUCCGUCGAGUCCCCGGCCUCAUCUUCUUGUCAUAGGUAUACGAGUUCCGGGAGACGAGUUUGGGUACGAGGACCCUGUCGAGUACGUUCACGAGGAGCAAGCUUUCGACAACCCUGAGAAAUUUGCAGACUCCGAUACCGACGCUGCUGCUGCCCAGUUCGACUACGGAGCUGACGACCCCUCCUACUUGCCAGAGCAACCAGAUGCUGGAGCCCAGGAGCCAGACGCCACCGUCGACGACGACUCGUACUACACCGGAGGUGCCUACUACUACGUGCAGCCCCGCUGA